rnacentral:tRNA from 1 species
UGGGUUGUGGCUCAGUGAUAGAGCGCUUGCCUCUCAUGUGAGAGACCCUGGGUUCGAUCCUCAGCACCAUAU